GGUGUGGAUCAUUUAGUUAAUACGGUAAAUUUAUUUUGCACAGUGUAUUUUUCAGCAAAACUUAUAGGAUCAUUUUAUUUCAGAAUACUGUGAUAGACACCGUGGGAACUCUUUUAGGAGGCAUUUUAAACCCCAUUCUUUGUAACAAGGAUGGAGGUCUUCUAGGUCUUGGAAUUUCACUUGGAAAUCCAGUCGGCAAAUGAGUCACAGGAUUCCAAUUGAAGCAAAUCUGCUUCCAAAGGAGAAAACUGUUUCCGAAUAUUUGCAAACCAAUAUUUAUGAUUUCCUGGGAAUAUCAUUCUCAUUGGAUCGCCCAUGUUUUGGAGAAGUCUUGAUUGUUGCUUUAUUUCCUGAAUGAUUUUUUUAAUCAAUAAAAU